rnacentral:rRNA from 1 species
GUGGAAGUGCAGUAAUGCAUGGAGCUGACUGUUACUAAUAGGUCGAGGGCAUAACCAAA